rfam:Capsicum annuum cultivar Zunla-1 unplaced genomic scaffold scaffold90, whole genome shotgun sequence
ACCUCAUGGUUGGGACAUUGUAUAAGCUUCCCAUUAAAACCCUUCCAUACCUCAUACAGAGGCUCUCCAUUUAAUUGAUGAAAUUUUGUGAUUUUGUUAUGCAAUU